AUGAAAAUAAUUUCAUAAUUAUUUAUAAAAAGCUGCUUUUCCAGCUUUUGUUUUUCCCUACUACAACUUUGCAACUAUUUCCUUUUUAUGUUUUCAUUGAAAUCAUAAUGUUAAUUGCUGCCAUCACAUUUAUUCAACAGGCCAAGUCUGCAAUGGGCAAAUGGGAUUCUGAUGAUUUGAAGCACAGAAAGAAAUAGUUGAAAUGAUCAACCAGAGUGCUAAUCUCAACACAAAAGAUCAUGGCAGAGAGAAGUCAAGACUCUGAUAUUUCUGUUUUCUAACCACCAAGGCAAUUAGGGAAAACAAAACAAAAAAAAACUCUGAAAACUAAACAGAAAUGUGACAAUCAGAAACAAAAUGAAGAGACUCCAGGAUUAUAUUUUAGAAUAGCAGAAAGGAAGUAACAGUGAAAAGAUCCUAAGAAUAACUUACCUGUUUGAUAAAAGACCCAAAACACUGAGACUAUCUGCUUCUUCUAUUAAUUAAUUAUGGGUCAACAAUCACUUGCUGACCAAAGAACAGAGUACUGAGCCUUCCAGCUUCCCCAACAUUUCUGCCUAACACCUUGGAGAAGGUGAAAUGUACCUAAAAGUAUCACUACAUGGCUACUGAGAAUUUGCUCACUUCUAAAUGAUAAAUAUUUCACCAUUGUGACAGGAAGCUUUCAACAACUAAGAUGAAAAAAAAAUGGAGAAAAACAGCUACCUCCUCUACUGAUAUCUUUUAAGUUAACUGUAAAACAGGUUUUUCAGAAGAAUUCCAGAAGUCACUGUUACCACAGGAGACGACAGUUCCAUGUGUGUUUGUCCCUGAAGAACGUUCCAGUGGACCAGAUUUGGAGUGAUACGAACGAGCCUGACUCUAUCAGGCCUAGGACUCUAGAUCUUGGAAAUGAGGAAGACUAAAAUGGACAGACAUGGGAGCACUCCACGGCAAAAGAGAGCAUAAAGUGGAUUCCGAGGAAGGGAUAUUAGCAAGUUGUUCUGUGACAAAGAGAAGAUGUGAUCAGCUGUACAAAUGAAGACAGAGACCACUAAGCUGAUACACUAAGUUUGAUAUAAAAUGUAAUUACCAUUAAAACUUCUUUUGAGGCAUGAUCAAAUCUUUAGUUUACAAAGAUUACUCUGGUUAUAGCAUUCUGGGAGAAAAUAAAAUGAUUCAGUCUGAGAAAGACUCCACAGAACAAGUGAUAUUUUAGCUAGGUCUCAUAGGAUGAAUAGAAGUUUUUUUGAGGAAGGGCUCUACAGAAUGAUAAAAUAAAAUGAAAAAAGGUACAAAAACGUUAACAGGGCACCACAGAUUCUGGGACAAGUAAGAGGGCGAGAGUGACUGGAUAACAGGUUAUUUAGAGGAAAGAGAUCUCAGAUUGGAAUGGCAGGCUUAGGCUUUUUUUUAAGAGGAACACUACAGUUUCCCAUUUGAUUAUAAAUUUUAUCAUUUUAUAAGAUUGGAACUCCCCCUUAUUCCUUAUAGAGUCAUAACAUCAAGUGGUGGGUGAUUCAACAAUUAUUCAUGAUGGCAGUGCCAACAUCCUUGCUCAUAUAUUAAAU